AAGUCGUAACAAGGUUUCCGUAGGUGAACCUGCGGAAGGAUCAUUAAAGAGUUAGGGUCCCAGUGGCCCAACCUCCAACCCUCUGUUGUUAAAACUACCUUGUUGCUUUGGCGGGACCGCACCCCGGUGCGCGCCUGGUCUCCGGACCGAGCGAACGCCCGCCAGAGUCCAACCAAACUCUUUGUAUUAAACCAGUCGUCUGAGU
rnacentral:misc_RNA from 1 species